ACAGCCACAUCACAUUGAAACACUAGUUCUCAUAUAAUCACUGAAGUUAAGCAAUAUUGAGUCUGGUUAGUACCUAGAUUGGUGACUGCUUGAGAAUACCAGGGGCU